UACGGAGGGUGCAAACGUUGCUCGGAAUCAUUGGGCGUAAAGCGCACGUAGGCGGCCUAGUAUGUCGGGUGUGAAAGCCCUCGGCUUAACCGGGGAAGUGCAUUCGAAACUGCUAGGCUUGAGUACUGAAGAGGAUCGCGGAAUUCCCGGUGUAGAGGUGAAAUUCGUAGAUAUCGGGAGGAACACCAGUGGCGAAGGCGGCGAUCUGGGCAGAUACUGACGCUGAGGCACGAAAGCGUGGGGAUCAAACAGG
rnacentral:rRNA from 1 species